ensembl:lncRNA
GGGAUGAAGCAGAUGAGUUUGUGGAAAUUGGUGCUCUGAAUGGCAUCUUUGUCUUGGGUCGCAGUAUGGGAUUCAUUGGUGAGUUAUCUGCGUGCAUGGCAAUGUCUGCAAGACAGCAAACACUUCUACUUUGUAUGAUAACCAGUCUUUCUUUUAUAUAUCUCCUUAAGGACACUACCUGGAUCAGAAGAGGCUGAAACAGGGUCUGUAUCGCCACCCUUGGGAUGACAUCUCCUAUGUACUCCCAGAGCACAUGUCUAUGUAAUCAGAGGGACUAAACCAUAUAGCAGCAGCAGCUGUUUGGUCCCUCACCCUGCCAUUAGUACCCCUGCACAUACUGUGACAUCAUCUCAAAUCAGUGCCAUAACAUAGGGAAGAUGUUACGAUUAAUAUAGCUGUAAAUGCCAAGUGGUGGAAAGAAUUUAGUUCUGGAAACCUGUCAGCGCUGCGCACAUGAUUAAUAUAUAACCUGCUAAACUGUGAACCUUCCAUCUUAAAAUGUGUUUUGGAGAGCAAUCGGAUGAGGUAUACAGUGGAGGAAGUAAACAGAAAGUUACUGAUGACUAGAGAAGUACUGUUGUUUACCCCCAAAUAAUACAUCAAUAUAUUAAAGUAGCAUGUGUGUCUGUGCGACAGUGUUUCAUGUUUCUGUGCUGCUCUCUUCACUGUGCCAUUUACUACAAGAAGUGAACAUGUAGUGCAAUAAUUCCUAUAUAAUAUCAGAACAUACUGUACAUCAGAUCUGUAUUUGUGUACAUAUGAAUUAAUACUUAACUAACCAAAUGGUACAAGAAUGUUAUAAUUUGCAUUUUCUGUAUUGCCUUUGACACAGUAGUAAUGAGUGAUGCUUGUAGUCUGCUUACUGUGGGUGAUGGGACCAUUUUUAUGAGUCAUACCUAGCAGGUACUGCCAUUUGCAGUGUGCAGGAAAUGUUCUCUCCCAGCUGGUACAAUAUGAGGGAGUAUUUUUUGAAAGCAUUAAAAUGGUCAGAUAAUGUUAUUAGUCAUAAGAACAACAAAUAUGUAAUUAGUGGGGGGUUUUUUUUGUUUUUUUUGUUUUUCCUCUUACCUGGUUAUUUAAGAGGCUGCCAUUGCAUAUGAUAAAUGAGACACAGUUAGUAACAAAAAGCUAAAUUAUUAAUAAAAAUAUCUUUGAGCCAGCACAAUUGGGGUUAAAUAAAAUGUAUUAUUUUUGUAUAAUUAAUGAGGUAUGGUUUUUAUUCAUUCUGAUUUUUAAUUCUUCUGAGUGCAGUUUUGAAGGUUGUUUCAUGCCUGGUGUGAAAAUCUUUUCAGAAUGACUGAACUUCUUUAGAAAAAAAAAAAACAAGGUCCAAAAGGGUAUCUAUAUGUGGCAGGCAUCGCCAGUGUUAUCCAUUAUGCAGUUGUGGUUAAAAAGUGUAUCAAAUCUGUGAGAAACCAGAAACGUGUUUUCAGUGUCUUCAUGUUUUAUGUUUUUUAUCUUUGAGUGUGAGCUAAGUGUUCCUGUGUACUGAUUUGUUGUAUGUUGAUAACGGUAUAAUUAAGUACAUUAAAAUGUAAUCAUUAAAAUGUAUCAAUGCA